rnacentral:rRNA from 1 species
CCUACGGGUGGCAGCAGUGAGGAAUAUUGGUCAAUGGACGGAAGUCUGAACCAGCCAUGCCGCGUGCAGGAAGACGGCUCUAUGAGUUGUAAACUGCUUUUGUACGAGGGUAAACCUGAAUACGUGUAUUCAGCUGAAAGUACUGUACGAAUAAGGAUCGGCUAACUCCGUGCCAGCAGCCGCGGUAAUACGGAGGAUCCAAGCGUUAUCCGGAUUUAUUGGGUUUAAAGGGUGCGUAGGCGGAUUGAUAAGUUAGAGGUUAAAUGUCCGAGCUUAACUCGGGAACUGCCUCGAAUACUGGUGAUCUAGAGAGUAGAUGCGGUAGGCGGAAUGUAUGGUGUAGCGGUGAAAUGCUUAGAGAUCAUACAGAACACCGAUUGCGAAGGCAGCUUACCAA